UACGUAGGGGGCAAGCGUUGUCCGGAUUUAUUGGGCGUAAAGAGCUCGUAGGUGGUUCGGUAAGUCGGAUGUGAAAUCUCCAGGCUCAACCUGGAGGGGUCAUUCGAUACUGCCGUGACUAGAGUUCGGUAGGGGAGUGUGGAAUUCCUGGUGUAGAGGUGAAAUGCGUAGAUAUCAGGAGGAACACCGGUGGCGAAGGCGGCUACCUGGACAGAAACUGACGCUGAGGCGCGAAAGCUAGGGGAGCAAACAGG
rnacentral:rRNA from 1 species